rnacentral:misc_RNA from 1 species
AAGUCGUAACAAGGUUUCCGUAGGUGAACCUGCGGAAGGAUCAUUAACACGUAUCCAAACGUUAAACCCCCCUGUGAACCUUCACCUGUACUCGUACGUCCGUUAGAAAAAGCAGCAAUCCCUGGUAAAUCAUCGCCGAACAGUUUUCGAUUCAGCAUCCCCAAGCAGUUAGUGUCUGAAAGUGUCAUUAACUGUGUAAGGAUGACGCAGUCACGAUCGUUGGAGGCCCACACGGCCGACGACCGGGUCACUGGGCGCAAGCCCCCCUUUUACCAACGCUGCUCAUCGCGGCCGCGAUAAUACGCAGUCGACCAAAAACCGAACAACUGUUAACAAUGGAUAUCUUGGUUCUC